rnacentral:lncRNA from 1 species
AGUUUAUAAAUUAAAAUUUUAGGAUAUGACUUGAAUUUUUGUGGAUAUGAGUUGAACCUUUAGGAUAUGAAUUGAACCUUUAGGAUAUGAGUUGAACCUUUAGGAUAUGAAUUGAACCUUUAGGAUAUGAAUUGGACUUUUUGGUUUAUGUAUUGGAAUUUUAGUUUAUAAAUUGAAAUUUUAGGAUAUGACUUGAACUUUUGUGGAUAUGAGUUGAACCUUUAGGAUAUGAAUUGAAAUUUUAGGAUAUGAGUUGGACUU